rnacentral:rRNA from 1 species
ACUCCUACGGGAGGCAGCAGUGGGGAAUAUUGGACAAUGGGCGAAAGCCUGAUCCAGCCAUGCCGCGUGUGUGAAGAAGGUCUUCGGAUUGUAAAGCACUUUAAGUUGGGAGGAAGGGCAGUAAGUUAAUACCUUGUCUGUUUUGACGUUACCAACAGAAUAAGCACCGGCUAACUUCGUGCCAGCAGCCGCGGUAAUACGAAGGGUGCAAGCGUUAAUCGGAAUUACUGGGCGUAAAGCGCGCGUAGGUGGUUCGUUAAAGUUCGGAUGUGAAAGGCCCGGGCUCAACCAUGGGAACUGCAUCCAAAACUGGCGAGC